ensembl:lncRNA novel transcript
GAUCCCUCUGCCUCCUGACUGAUCAUGGUGAUUCCCCAGUUGGCUCCCCCAGGGUAUGGUAUACCCCUUCUCUUGGAAUAUGUGUGAGCAUUCGGAUCACCAACGCUGUGACCUCGCUGUGUGAACGGGAGCUACUACAGGAAGGAAGCUUACAAAUGAGCUGCAUGGAUCCCACAUUUUGCUAAAAUCAAAUAGGACCUUUCUCCUCUUUGUUGAAUGCCGUAAUACACAAGAAAUAAGCCAGCAGGAUGCUCAUGUCCAAGGUUUCCCUUUAUCUACCACACGAGUUGGCAUGAAACAACUUCUGGGGUUCAAAUCUUCUGAACAAUGAUACAAGUCUUGGCAAAUUUCAAGAAUAAUUUAAAGAGGAAAUAAAUAGCUUUUUGUUUAACUUGGAUCAAUUAUCUCCUAUUGCUCCCAGCUUCAUGCCAGGUACUCUCCACUGUGCCUGGGAAAUAUGAAUCCCUGCCCUCAUGAAAAAACAUUGGCCAUGAGGAUUUUCCCUACAACCCAAGAACUAUUUGAAGUUUGAAGUCUUUCAGCCCAGACAACACUGGCUAUUUUCACCUUUGCCUUCAACUAUAAAGGCUGGGCUCUCUCUGCAGGAGUGGUGAAACCUGCAAGCCAGAGGUAAAAAUGAGGGCAAAGCUCUUCAAAUCUUUGGAAGCAGAACGGUGUUCUGAGACGACAAUGAGAUUAGCUUUGCUCAGUUAUACAAAGAGAAAAACACUUUACCAGGAGAGCCUCAAUCAACCUGAACAAUGAAGAGAAAGAAACAAGCCUGGUGAUUGGAAAGGAAGUUCUUUAAGUGUGAAUUGCUCCGAGUACAAUAUAAACCUUGUCAGUUAUGGGA